AGUGGCGGACGGGUGAGGAACACGUGGGAACGUGCCUUUUGGUUCGGAACAACUCAGGGAAACUUGAGCUAAUACCGGAUGUGCCCUUCGGGGGAAAGAUUUAUCGCCAUUAGAGCGGCCCGCGUCUGAUUAGCUAGUUGGUGGGGUAAUAGCCUACCAAGGCGACGAUCAGUAGCUGGUCUGAGAGGAUGAUCAGCCACAUUGGGACUGAGACACGGCCCAAACUCCUACGGGAGGCAGCAGUGGGGAAUCUUGCGCAAUGGGCGAAAGCCUGACGCAGCCAUGCCGCGUGAAUGAUGAAGGUCUUAGGAUUGUAAAAUUCUUUCACCGGGGACGAUAAUGACGGUACCCGGAGAAGAAGCCCCGGCUAACUUCGUGCCAGCAGCCGCGGUAAUACGAAGGGGGCUAGCGUUGCUCGGAAUUACUGGGCGUAAAGGGAGCGUAGGCGGAUAGUUAAGUCAGAGGUGAAAGCCCAGGGCUCAACCUUGGAAUUGCCUUUGA
rnacentral:rRNA from 1 species